rnacentral:rRNA from 1 species
GUCUGUUUGAAGGUAUAAAAAGUCUAGCCUGCCCACUGAUAAUAAAAUUUUUAAGGGCCGCGGUAUUUCUGACUGUGCAAAGGUAGCAUAAUCGUUAGUUUCUUAAUUGGAAUCUUGUAUGAAUGGUUUGACAAGAAAAAGCCUGUCUUUAUAAUUAAUAAUUGAAUUUAACUUUUAAGUGAAAAGGCUUAAAUAAAUUAAAAAGACGAUAAGACCCUAUAAAACUUAAUAUAAAUUGAUUAUUUGAGUAAAAUUUUAUUGUAUAAAUAUUUAAUAAUUAAUUUAUAUUUUAUUGGGGUGAUAAUGGUAAAAUGAUUAUUAACUGUUAAUUAUUUUAUGACAAAAAUUAUUGAAUAAAUGUGUAAUAAAUGAUCCUUAUUAAAGAUUAAAAGUUUAAGUUACUUUAGGGAUAACAGCGUUAUUUUUUUUGAGAGUUCUUAUCGAGAAAAAAGUUUGCGACCUCGAUGUUGAAUUAAAAUAUCUAUAUAAUUGUAGCAGUUAUAUGAGAAGGUCUGUUCGACCUUUAAAUUUUU